rnacentral:tRNA from 1 species
GUCCAGGUGGCAGAUCCCGGCCAAUGCAGAAGACCUAAAUCCUUCCUAUAGGGGUUCAAAUCCCCCCCUAGACU